GUGAAUCAUCAAAUCUUUGAACGCAAAUUGCACUCUCUUCGGAGAGCAUGCCUGUUUGAGGUUCAGCCUAAAAAAAAUCAACAUAGUUGCUGGUUCGCGGUUACAGUCGUCGGGAAUUGGGUCAUCUUAAACCUGUGGGUGGUAAGCGGCUUUAAAUUUUCUUUACGAUUCCACGAACGUCUCUAAGAUUUUACUUGUUACACGUUUAUGGUAUCGAUCUUGAUUAGACGUGGCCGUUGCAUCGGAUCACGUCC
rnacentral:misc_RNA from 1 species